CUAACGACUCUCGGCAACGGAUAUCUCGGCUCUCGCAUCGAUGAAGAACGUAGCGAAAUGCGAUACUUGGUGUGAAUUGCAGAAUCCCGUGAACCAUCGAGUCUUUGAACGCAAGUUGCGCCCGAAGCCAUUAGGCCAAGGGCACGCCUGCCUGGGCGUCUCACA
rnacentral:rRNA from 3 species